rnacentral:rRNA from 1 species
CGGGGGGAGCAAGCGUUGUUCGGAUUUACUGGGCGUAAAGGGCGCGUAGGCGGCCACCGCAAGUCGACUGUGAAAUCUCUGGGCUUAACCCAGAACGGUCAGCCGAUACUGCGGGGCUAGAGUGCAGAAGGGGCAACUGGAAUUCUCGGUGUAGCGGUGAAAUGCGUAGAUAUCGAGAGGAACACCUGCGGCGAAGGCGGGUUGCUGGGCUGACACUGACGCUGAGGCGCGAAAGCUAGGGGAGCGAACGGGAUUAGAUACCCCGGUAGUCCUAGCCUUAAACGAUGAAUGCUUGGUGUCUGGGGUUUUAUAGUCCCCGGGUGCCGUCGCUAACGCUUUAAGCAUUCCGCCUGGGGAGUACGGUCGCAAGACUG